rfam:Oryza meridionalis cultivar OR44 (W2112) chromosome 5, whole genome shotgun sequence.
UAUAAAAAACAAACUAGGUUUCCGUAUCCAACGUUUGACUGGCCGUCUUAUAUGAAAAUUUUUUUGUAAUUAGUACUUUGAUUGUUGUUAGAUGAUAAAACAUGAAUAAUACUUUAUACGUGACUUGUCUUUUUAAUUUGUUUCAUAAUUUUUUCAAAUAAGACGGACGGUCAAACGUUGGACACGGAAACCCAGGGUUUGUCUUUUU